UCAUCCAGCCCCUCUGGCUUAUCUUCCAAAAUUGAAUCCAAUCCUAUUUGUACUAAUAGAUCCUUCACUCUUACCUUCCACAUGGUGAAACUCUCCUUCCUAUCAAACUUCUCAAAUCCCACCUUCAACAUGCUACUCUUUAUGAUCAAAUCCAAUCAAAAAUAGCACACAAGAGAGAUCUGAGAAUUACCUGACUGGGUGAUUGUGGAUAGCAGCCCCC
rnacentral:lncRNA from 1 species